UACGUAGGGUGCAAGCGUUGUCCGGAAUUAUUGGGCGUAAAGAGCUUGUAGGCGGUUUGUUGCGUCGACUGUGAAAACCUGCGGCUCAACCGUGUGGUCUGCAGUCGAUACGGGCAGGCUGGAGUUCGGUAGGGGAGACUGGAAUUCCUGGUGUAGCGGUGAAAUGCGCAGAUAUCAGGAGGAACACCGGUGGCGAAGGCGGGUCUCUGGGCCGAUACUGACGCUGAGGAGCGAAAGCGUGGGGAGCGAACAGG
rnacentral:rRNA from 1 species